rnacentral:rRNA from 1 species
UACGUAGGGGGCGAGCGUUGUCCGGAUUUACUGGGCGUAAAGGGCGCGUAGGCGGUCCGUUAAGUCGGUUGUAAAAUCCCUCGGCCUAACUGAGGGGCGUCGGCCGAAACUGGCGGGCUGGAGGGAGGCAGAGGGGGGCGGAAUUCCCGGUGGAGCGGUGAAAUGCGUAGAGAUCGGGAGGAACACCCUUGGCGAAAGCGGCCCCCUGGGCCUUUCCUGACGCUGAGGCGCGAAAGCGUGGGGAGCAAAC